rnacentral:lncRNA from 1 species
AGUACUCAACAAGACUUAACCGACUAGAAAAGAGGUGAAGACUCAGGUAUGCAGGCUAUAGGGAUUUAAGGUAAGGCUUUAGCAAGAUCAAAGCAUUUCUUUUGCAUAAAAGCUUACUAAGAGUAAAACCUACUUUCAAGUUUUAACUCAAGAUCAUCAUUUAUGACUAACCAAAAUUAUUAUCAAACUUUCAUAAGCAAACCACCUCUUUCUUAUACCAAAGUUCAUUUAUUACUACGAUGAUGGUGUGAGGAUUGAGGCUCCAUAUCCGAGGAAACACGGCGAUUCGAAUCGAUUAAACCCAGCUGGGAUUCAGUACCACACGACAUAUGUAGAACUUAAUCUUGCAUAUGUCAACCUGUUUCUAUAGAUCCUCCCAUACAAGAACGGGUCCAGCGUCACCCGAGAGUACAGUACACCACCAUCCUACAGCCAAUCUAGAUGUUUCCCGGUCAUCUCAGAUCCGUAAGGUGGGUACACGCUACUCUCGCCAUCUCUCCACUCCCAGUACGCGGUUAGCCGUUCUCAAGUAUCGGAAUAGCUAUAGGUAAGGCUUACCGCCGCAUGUGGGCUGUACUCAAAGGUCUCAAUCACAACAGGCCAAUCAACGGUACGGUCCUUAAUCGACACAGUUGGAGACACUACUUUAAGACUCCAUUCUUAAAGCAAGUCCACCGACCGGUCUCAAGCUUGAACAUUAUCAACCAUAAAAGUAUUCCACAACAACCCUUCAAACUUUCUCAUUUGAAAACUUAUCUAAUAAGCAGGGCUAAGCAUACUAAGCAUUUUCAUAAAACAAGUAUCAAGGUUAAUAUGGAAAUCAUCAAGGUAGGUAAUGCAGCAAAUAGGAUUCACUCAACUCCUAUUCACCUAAUGCAUCAUAUUAACUCAAGUGAUAUAAAUAACUUUAUGAAAAUACAAGGAUAGGGUUUAAUGUCCGGGGCUUGCCUUGGCCGGAAGGGAAGUCCGACAACUCAGCAAAACCAGAUGGAUCCACAAACUCGGAAGCAACCCACUGAGGAUUAGAUUCCUCCGGAGCGUAGUCUACACGUAGAGGUGCAUAUGCAUGAUCAAUGAGAUGUUCAUGACAUGAUAAAGACAGGUUACAAGUUCUUGGAUGAUAACAACAAAUAUAACUACCUCGAGUACAACUUACCUUCACGGUAUAGAAACAAACUAACUUAGUUAUCAAAGCAUAGAUUAUUACUAAGCAAAUUUUAUCAUCUUCAUUAAGCAAGGUUGUGUAGCUAUCAGGCAACAAAGAUCAUUUAUAUGAAAUAAUCUAUAACCAAGGAGCAUAUCAUGUCAGGUAACCAUUGGUUGUCAAUCAAUCCCAAAGAUCAAACAAAACCUAAAAUGAUUAGGUUUUCUAUUUAUCUUAAUCAAUCCUUAAUUAAAUAUUAAUGGCAGUAAUUAAGUAUUAACAUCAAACAAUAAUUAAGUGCCAAAGGUCAUUGAAAGAUAAUGACCUCAGGUCAUCACCCAAUCCCAAAAGCACUCAAAUUCUAAUUUGGAAAUUAAGCAACUCAUUAUUUAAGUAAAGGCUAGCUAAAAACAAACAACUCUAUUUGCACACAUAACCAGGACAGCAGCAUAUACACAACUUCAUUCAACCAUAAUUAGAGAUCCAAACAUCCAAUAAAGGUGAUAUUAGACUUUCUGGAAAGCUUAUAUAAUUUUCUACAACUUUGUUAUUAUCUUCGAGAACUGAUUUAAUAGAUAACAUGGCCAAACAGUAUGAAUAAACAAUUCUGUCCAGACCUUGGACAGAAUCAGACAUUAAGCUUCAUACAUCUAUAACCAGAGUUCUAGAUCACCAAAAUUCAUGAUCCAUAACAUUUUGGAAAGCUUAUGAACAUUACUACAAUUCAUCUUUUAUCAUGAAAGCAUGAUUCAUAAGUUUAGUAGGUUGAAAUUGCACAACUACAGAAACUGAUCCAGAAAUCACUAAUAAUUUAAUUAUAGACAAAUAACAUUUCAUUUAUGUUUCAAACUUGGACCUGGGCAAAACCUAGCUCACCAAUAGUUGAAAUACAUCAAAGAGAUACUAGAAAAUAUCAUGGUCCUCCCUAAAUAAAUUCUUUUUAUGUCUUUAUUAAUUCAUUUAGAUAAAUAGACAAAGUAAUAACCAUAUAUCAAAAGUACACAAUAAAUUCUGAGAAAACUACAGAAGCUCAUAUAUGCUCUCCAAAGUCUACUGUAUAAAUUUCAUGCCACUUGGAUAAGUAUAGCAAUUUCCAUGAAAAAGAUAAAUUUCCAUCACAAAGAAGCAUGUAACGGCAAGAUAAAUAAGAAACUCGACAUUUUCUACAAACACAUAGCUAAAUUAUGUAUCUAUAUGAUAUAACAACCACAUAUAAAGGUACAGAAACCAUAUUUUACAUUUAUUUAUUUUUAUUUUAAUUGUAAACUAUUUAAUAAGCACUAAACAAGAUAAAUUAAUAACUUCAACAUAUAUCAUCCAAUGAAUCUAAAAACUUAACCACAACACACACACAUAAUCAUUAAUCUACCAUAAAAGUUUCAUCUUAAAAGAAGCUAUACAGCAAUAGAUAUGAAUUUCUUCCCUUUAAGCAUAAUUAAAAGACAUAAAUCAUGACUAAUUAUUUUACUACAAAACAUGGUCAGUUUCAUAUUUUUAAUAAAAACUAGACAUCUCAAGGAGCACAACAAAAUUUGGUUCACCAAAAUUGGAGUUUCCAAACUCCAGAUAUGAAUUUUCAAAGAUUUAACAAAACAUCUACAAACAAGUCCUUAUAGCACUAUUCACCUGAGUCACAGUCUCUGCAAUUAGACCCCUGGGAAACAUCAAAUUGUUGCACGAGGUCCCUAGCGCGAGCUGAAAACAGAGGAAGCUCGUCAGAGCUUGUGGUUUUGACGGUGGGAUACAUUUCUGUGGCAACGGAGUGGCGAGGAAGAGGUGCUAGGGCAUGGAAGCAUCAUGCCACACCUGUAGCUGGCCCUGGAAUGGCUAGAGACAGUCCGUCGCUCGCUGGCCACGUGCACGGGCGAACCAGUAGUGGUCGUGCCGGCGGCGAGAUGAUUCUCUGGCGGCUUCGUCGGUGCUGGUUACAAACAAUGGGUUGAUGAGCAUCACCAAGCCACAAGGAAGCAAGAGCAACACACGAGGGGGCAUGUGAUGCUCUGGAAAGGUCUGGCCACGGUGGAGGCUCCGUGGCGGCGCUUUCGGCCGAAGUUGAAAAGGAUGGAUGAAAUAGGUGCUAUGGCAGGGUAGAGCGUGCAGUAAGAGGCGCAAAAGAUCGCUGAGCUCUUGGCGAAGCUGCUGGGGUGCUCUGGUGGCGCGGAAAGGGAGCGGGCGAGGCGAAUUUUGUGAGCGCAUGGAGCUCGCCGGCGUUGAGCGUGAAAGAGAAAAGAGAGAUUGCAGCACGGUGUGGUCACGGGAAGAAGUGGAUGAGGACGCCAGGAGCUCGGCCACUUCACCGCGACCGCAAGCAGGCGAGCAACUGCGUGGCUGGGUGCGUGGCGGCGUCCUGAGCAGCAGUGUCUGUCGUGGCGGCAGUGCAGCCCGUGAUCCUCAUCGGUUACUGUAGCAGGCUUUAUCCAACCAGUUUUGUGGUUUUGCAAAAUUCGUCUAAAUUUUGAACUGAAGACAAAAUUCCACCAAAACAAAAGUUAUUCAGAAUUUUACAAACUACAAAUCUUAUUUUGGUGACCAAAGCCAAUUCUGGGUGGAAAAUGACGAAUUUGACAAAACAGUUUGAAUUUCAAAUCCCAAAUUGGGGAAAUUCCAAAUUUUGAAUUGGAGCAGAUUAGAAUUUCCAAAAUUACUUUUAAUUUUUCCAAACAACUUGAAAAACUCCCAACAUGAAAGUUGUUCAACUUUUUGAGCCCUACAACUUUCAUGUUGACCACUUUUCAAAAUUCCAAAUAGAUUUUGAAUUGGGGAUUCAAAUCGGAAAAGGGGACAAUUUCUGGAAAAUUGUAUUUUCAAAAUUACUUUAAAUUUUGUAUUGAAACUCCAAAAACUCAAAACACCAAAGUUGUACAUCUUGACAAGACCUACAACUUUUCUUUUGAACUCAACCUCAAAUUUUGCUUGGUUUUUGAAUUGCACAAAAGGGGGUAAAAACUAUGUUUGAAAUUAGGUUUUUUUUUUACCACCCUCCUUAACUAGGGAUUAAACAACCAUCAUGAGCAUCACUUCACCAGAUAAACACACUUUAAUUCCCUAAGCACAAUCAACCAAAAUAAACUUAUUUUAGGUUGAUGCAUAAUAAUGUGCUUAACAAAUAUGCUUUGCAAUGCUUAUGAUGACAUGAUCCAUUUUUAGUGUUCGUAACAUCAGGGAUGUUACAGCCCUUCCCCCUUAAAGAAAUCUCGUCCCGAGAUUUCCAGGGUACUAAAACCCGUGGGGUUGAGUAAUGGAAAAGGAAAUGUGUCAAGCACAUUAACUUCUGAGAAGUUCAUACAACAAUUACGAUUGGUCCGAGAAUUACAACUAAGAUCAACAAGAAGUUGUAAUCAAUCAGGAAUUUUUAGAGAAUUCAAAGAUAUGAAUCUCCAAAUGAGCUUCCAAGGAGGAUGAAAGCACGCUAACAGUAGAUUAUAGUGGAGCAUGACCAGAGAUCCCGAUGUUUAACGAGGACCCUGUAGUAUUUCCUUAUGGCUGCAGUCCACAGGAGACUACAAGGUUCGACGCUAUAACGUGAUCACGGAUCAUGGUACCUACUAUCGAGUACAGUUACAAUAGCUUUCAAUGAUCUAUGUUGGUUAUCCAAGUCAGGGGCUUUAGGUAAUUCCAAAGAGAUAUGGGCAUGGAUUCCCAUAAUAUAGUUCAAAGAGUGGGAUCACCUAAGUUGUGGGUCUAUAAGGGGUCAUGAUCAUAGACUUUGAUAACAGCGAGCGCCCAGCAGUAUUUCCUUAUGGUCGCGAGCCAUAGGAGACCCCAGGUUUCGGCGCUGUUACCUAAGUUAUGGGCCAUGGUACCUUAAGAGGACACAAUCAUAGUGACAUUCAAUCAACAUAAAUGUUGACAAAUGACAUCAAGGAGGUAGUAGGUGUCCGAAUUAGAUGCAAUCAAGGAAGGUCACAUGCAUAACAAAUGAAUCAAGGAUUAGGAUCUUAUGGAGUAAAAGAUUAUCAAUCAGGUAACGAAACCUGGUACAUGAUGAGAUUCAUCAAUAAAACAGCUAUAACGAAUAAUAACUGUUUUUGAAGCAUAAGGAGGGGCUUUUAAGUAUCAUUAUAUUGUCAUGUUAUGCAUGAUAUGCAAUAUGCUCGCCUAUACGUCUUCUCAACGGCGAGAGUGCUCUAUCUUCAUCAUGUUAGUAGAUUAUAGGGCUUUAUUUAUAAACUAUCUUCAUCGCUCUGGAUGGAAUGUUGCAAGACUUUUGACAAAGCAUUGUUGGAGUAGUUUGAUUCUUCACUUGGCUUGUUGAAGAAGAAUUGAAGUCCCUUUCAAUGCCUUCUAUUUGAGUCAGCAGACAGUCUUCACAGAACUCAGACAGCAAGCAUAAGAAAAGUUAAGGAACAUUUAUAAGUUGUUAUCCUCAAAACUUUUAAUUUGUAAAUUCCUUUUGAAGUUUUUCACAAGUAAUGUUGCAGAAGAUCCAUGUAUGAGCUCUGAUACCAGCUGUGACAGAACCUCCUGAAUUAAGUGGCCCACAUGCACCCAUCGUUGUCUCAAAGACUUCUGAUUGGCGUGCACGAGUUCCAAAUGACUCAAGAAGUCUGUCGGGUGUCCUCGGGAAACCCGAAUCAUCCACGUUUUAACUCAUACAGGAUCAACAUGGAGUUACCACAACAUUACAACAUUUGUUACAAAAAAAACUUACAUCAGAGUGCGGAAGAUUUAUAAUUUAAUUUACAACAUAUGAUGAAGUAUAAACUUAACUAAAUUUCCAAAAGGUGUGUAGAGUAGCGGAAGCAUCCUAGGUGAAGCUUCUAAGGUAGAAGAGGUGGAUAAAUCAUGUCGCGCCCACCGACAUGACCUCCAUUAGCAGCCUAAGUCAGCACCUGCAACCGGGGUUAUAAAACCCUGAGUACAAAAGUACUCAACAAGACUUAACCGACUAGAAAAGAGGUGAAGACUCAGGUAUGCAGGCUAUAGGGAUUUAAGGUAAGGCUUUAGCAAGAUCAAAGCAUUUCUUUUGCAUAAAAGCUUACUAAGAGUAAAACCUACUUUCAAGUUUUAACUCAAGAUCAUCAUUUAUGACUAACCAAAAUUAUUAUCAAACUUUCAUAAGCAAACCACCUCU